rnacentral:rRNA from 1 species
AGAGUUUGAUCCUGGCUCAGAGCGAACGCUGGCGGCGUGCUUAACACAUGCAAGUCGAACGGGUGUAGCAAUACAUCCGUGGCGAACGGGUGCGUAACACGUGGAUAACCUUCCUUCAGGUGGGGAAUAACCCAGUGAAAAUUGGGCUAAUACCGCAUAACAAGACGAGGGCACAUGCUCUUGUCUUCAAAGGCGCAAGUCGCCGGAAGAGGGAUCCGCGGCCGAUUAGCUAGUUGGCGGGGUAACGGCCCACCAAGGCAUUGAUCGGUAGCCGGACUGAGAGGUUGGCCGGCCACACUGGAACUGAGACACGGUCCAGACUCCUACGGGAGGCAGCAGUGGGGAAUCUUGCACAAUGGGCGAAAGCCUGAUGCAGCAACGCCGCGUGGGGGAUGAAGCUUCUCGGAGUGUAAACCCCUUUCGACCCGGACGAAUGCCCGCAAGGGCUUGACGGUACGGGUAUAAGAAGCCCCGGCUAACUACGUGCCAGCAGCCGCGGUAAAACGUAGGGGGCCAGCGUUGCUCGGAAUUACUGGGCGUAAAGGGUCCGUAGGCGGUGUGGCAAGUCGGUAGUGAAAGCUCUGGGCUUAACCCAGAGACUGCUGCCGAAACUGCUGUGCUAGAGUGUGAGAGAGGCGAGUGGAAUUACGGGUGUAGCGGUGAAAUGCGUAGAUAUCCGUAGGAACAUCCGAGGCGAAAGCGGCUCGCUGGAUCACAACUGACGCUGAGGGACGAAAGCUAGGGGAGCAAACAGGAUUAGAUACCCUGGNAGUCCUAGCCCUAAACCAUCAGGACUUGGGGGUUUGCCCUGUACGGGGCAAGUCCCGUAGCUAACGCGUUAAGUCCUGCGCCUGGGGAGUACGG